AACGAACGCUGGCGGCAGGCUUAACACAUGCAAGUCGAACGCCCCGCAAGGGGAGUGGCAGACGGGUGAGUAACGCGUGGGAACCUACCCAAUUCUACGGAACAACUGAGGGAAACUUCAGCUAAUACCGUAUACGCCUACGGGGAAGAUUAUCGAGUUGGAUGGCCCGCGUUGGAUUAGCUAGUUGGUGAGGUAACGGCUCACCAAGGCGACGAUCCAUAGCUGGUCUGAGAGGAUGAUCAGCCACACUGGGACUGAGACACGGCCCAGACUCCUACGGGAGGCAGCAGUGGGGAAUAUUGGACAAUGGGCGCAAGCCUGAUCCAGCC
rnacentral:rRNA from 1 species